CGAGCGGCUUAGCCCCGGCAGCGCUUACCGCCGGGGGAACCGCGGGCCGCUGUGGGCGGGCUCGGACCUGCCGACGGCACACGGCCGGAGAGCAGCGCUCGGGGCUCGCUUCAUGACUUGAGAAUGAGUUCGUCAACGCGUAUGUGAGUAGCAGACACUUGGCUUUCUGUGGAGCUCGUGCAACUGGAGGUUUGGGGUGAUGGGAAAGACGAGUGACCAAGGACAGCACAACCGAGUCACCCCCACCGUGCCACCGCCGGCACUGGGGAGAGAGGAAGGAGAUGGAGGCGUUGGGUCUGUGGAUCUUACUCGACUGAGCUCCAGACUUUAUUUCACAAGGAAACCAUACCCACAGGGAUUUUCUGUACAGAAAGAAUCAACUCAAAGCGCUUACAAAUUACUAAGUGUCCCACUGGCCAUAAAAUCUCACACAUAGAGUUUAAUACAAAAGUUGUCAAGUUUUUCUGGCAACAGCACUUCUUUUUUCUUUUUAUACCAUUUUUUUCUCUCUUCAGUAUUUCCUUGAUUGCUCAUGUUUUCUAAUGGCAUGUAAGCAUUACCUAGAUGCACUGUCAGUGCAAGGGAAAUCAAGCAAGGACUAUCAAUACACCCUACUUUUCCCCACACAUGGGCUUUGCAGCCAGGGCUGCAUCCCAGCCACAACUCAGAUGCCAUGACCUUUUGAUUAUCCUUAACAGGCUGGGUUAUUUCAAAUUUGUAGGAUGUUUUACUUGAAAAAUUUCUGAGUCAAGCCACUCAAAUUACACUCCUGCUGUUUGCUGCAAUGCAAGGGGGACCUUACAGAUUACCUUGGGAUUUGCACAGAACCUACUGGUGACUCCGGCCUGAUUUCCACAGAGCUCUGACAUGAGUGCCUGGCUGGCAUGGACAGACAGAGUCUGCUUGGCCACCAGAGUGGGCACAUGGGGCUGUCCCAGGCACUUUGCAUCCAUCUCACUCCCAGACAAAGCUUACUGAAUCCUGGCUUGCAUGGGGAUUCAGGUCACCUAACUGCUGACUGGACACAGUUACAAGCACUAAAAUUACCAGAAAAGUGAACUUUUGGGCAAAGGACUGUAGACACAACUUCCAAAAACACUUUAUUUUGUCUUAUGUAUGUGCUGUCAAAUAACCAGAGUUUGCAGAAGCUUUGCAAGUAACAGCACUCAAGUAUCAACAGAAGUGUUGAGAACAGAGGGCAGUAACAGUCCUCACUGCUUUGGGAUUUAAAUAAAUGCAGAUAAACAAAAUAAAUAGAGGAUUAAGUGUACUGUGCCCUAAACAAAACCCUCUUCCCAUCCCAAAGUGUACAGUAAAACGUGGCAUAUCUGUGUUGGACAAGUGAGCCAAGCAAGGCAAUUCUUCUCUGUGUCUAAAGAAAUAAACAUUCUAAAUGAA